GAUGAACGCUGGCGGCGUGCCUAAUACAUGCAAGUCGAGCGAACGGACGAGAAGCUUGCUUCUCUGAUGUUAGCGGCGGACGGGUGAGUAACACGUGGAUAACCUACCUAUAAGACUGGGAUAACUUCGGGAAACCGGAGCUAAUACCGGAUAAUAUUUUGAACCGCAUGGUUCAAUAGUGAAAGACGGUCUUGCUGUCACUUAUAGAUGGAUCCGCGCUGCAUUAGCUAGUUGGUAAGGUAACGGCUUACCAAGGCAACGAUGCAUAGCCGACCUGAGAGGGUGAUCGGCCACACUGGAACUGAGACACGGUCCAGACUCCUACGGGAGGCAGCAGUAGGGAAUCUUCCGCAAUGGGCGAAAGCCUGACGGAGCAACGCCGCGUGAGUGAUGAAGGUCUUCGGAUCGUAAAACCCUGUUAUUAGGGAAGAACAUAUGUGUAAGUAACUGUGCACAUCUUGACGGUACCUAAUCAGAAAGCCACGGCUAACUACGUG
rnacentral:rRNA from 1 species